rnacentral:lncRNA from 1 species
GGUUCUACAAUUCUCUUCCCUAAUUUAUUUUAGAUACACUUUAAACACACAGCAGUAGCAGUAGAUGCAGAAAAGUCUCGGGAUUGAAUCCAAGGGUAUGGAGUUGCCUUUGUGUUUUAUCCCAAUGCAGGAUUUGACAGCACUGAUUCGGAUUUAGUCGGGCUCCAAUGCGAGCAUUGGACAUCAGGUGGGAAACAAGAAAAAAAAGAUGCAUAAAUGAAAGAGAUUCCUACCUUUGGAUAUGUAAUUAAGCUAAUCUUUUCCAUUGCUAAUGGAGCAGAAGUA